ACAAGCGGAGGAACAUGUGGUUUAAUUCGAUGAUACGCGAGGAACCUUACCUGGGCUAGAACGCAUUCGGAAUCAGGCCGAAAGGCCUGCGCCAGCGAUGGCCGCUUGCGAGGUGCUGCAUGGUUGUCGUCAGCUCGUGCCGUGAGGUGUCGGGUUAAGUCCCAUAACGAGCGCAACCCCUACUGCUAGUUGCCAGCGGGUCAUGCCGGGGACUCUAGCGGAACUGCCAGCGUAAGCUGCGAGGAAGGUGGGGAUGACGUCAAAUCAGCACGGCCCUUACGUCCAGGGCUACACACGUGUUACAAUGGCCGGUACAGAGGGCAGCCACCCCGCGAGGGGGCGCGAAUCCCGAAAGCCGGUCCCAGUUCGGAUCGGAGUCUGCAACCCGACUCCGUGAAGCUGGAUUCGCUAGUAAUCGCGCAUCAGCCACGGCGCGGUGAAUACGUUCCCGGGCCUU
rnacentral:rRNA from 1 species